AGAGUUUGAUCCUGGCUCAGGACGAACGCUGGCGGCGUGCCUAACACAUGCAAGUCGAGCGGUUCAAUGUUUAGCACUGAGCAUUUACACAAUGAAUGCUGAGUGCUAAACAUUGGAUAGCGGCGGACGGGUGAGUAACGCGUGGAUAACCUGCCUUUUACAGGGGGAUAACACAGGGAAACUUGUGCUAAUACCGCAUA
rnacentral:rRNA from 1 species